rnacentral:sRNA from 1 species
GAGCAGGCCGGGACACCGCGGCCGAGGUUAUCGUUAGGCAUCUCCCAGGCGACCGGCUCCGCAGCAAGAUGGCGGACGAGAAAGACAGGCAAGAGAGAUUGGAACAAUUAUCAGGUCAUUAGGAUGCUGCCCUACUGAAGGAGAGCUGCAUGAUCUGAUUGCAGAGGUAGAGGAAGAAGAACCCACUGGAUACAUUCGAUUCGAAAAAUUUCUUCCGGUGAUGACAGAAAUACUACUAGAAAGAAUACAGACCAAUUCCAGAAGAUGUCCUUCUUCGAGCUUUUGAGGUUUUAGAUUCAGCUAAACGUGGAUUUCUUACUAAGGACGAACUGAUCAAGUAUAUGACUGAAGAAGGUGAGCCUUUUUCUCAAGAGGAAAUGGAAGAAAUGUUGUCUGCUGCAAUUGAUCCAGAAUCAAAUUCAAUUAAUUACAAGGACUAUAUAACAAUGAUGGUGAUAGAUGAAAAUUAAAUGUUCUAAAUAUAAUUUCUAAUUGAAAGACAAUUUUAGAAAUUGCUUGUUCUUCUUAAUUUCACAUCUUAGGAUUCCUAUAUGUGAUAUUUAAUACCUUGUGACAUAACUAUUUUAAGAUACUUUGUUUUUAAAGAUGAUCAUAGCACUUUAAAACAAAUUUAGUAUGUCUAGCCUUACAGAAUGAUAAAUUACUAUUUAUUUAAAAACUAUUCUUAAAACAUUUUAACAUUAGAAUGGAUGUUGUUUAUUUUCUACAAUAAAACUCAGGUUACCUUCGAAUUAAUUAAGCUGACAAAAUGAAAAUGAUGUAAUGACCCAAGGUUUGGCAUCUAAAGAUCUUAAGGGGGCAGAAUGACCACCACUCGAAAACGAAUAGCAAUGUAAUGAAGGCUUCUUUUUUAAACAAUAACAAACACUUCAUCAA